ensembl:lncRNA
GUCGAGGGGGACAGAAGAAAGGGAGGGAGAGGAACAGGUCGAGGGGGCAGAAGAAAGGGAGGGAGAGGAACAGGUCGAGGGGGACAGAAGAAAGGGAGGGAGAGGAGAGGAUCAGGUCGAGAGGGACAGAAGAAAGGGAGGGAGAGGAACAGGUCAAGGGGGACAGAAGAAAGGGAGGGAGAGGAACAGGUCGAGGGGGACAGAAGAAAGGGAGGAAGAGGAACAGGUCGAGGGGGACAGAAGAAAGGGAGGGAGAGGAGAGGAACAGGUCGAGGGGGACAGAAGAAAGGGAGGGAGAAGAACAGGUCGAGGGGGACAGAAGAAAGGGAGGGAGAGGAGAGGAUCAGGUCGAGAGGGACAGAAGAAAGGGAGGGAGAGGAACAGGUCGAGGGGGACAGAAGAAAGGGAGGGAGAGGAGAGGAACAGGUCGAGGGGGACAGAAGAAAGGAGGGAGAGGAACAGGUCGGGGGGACAGAAGAAUGGGAAGGAGGGGGACAGAAGGGAGGGAGGGAUAGAAGAGGAACAGGUCGAGGGGGACAGAAGAAAGGGAGGGAGAGGGACAGGUCGGGGGGGACAGAAGAAUGGGAGGGAGAGGAACAGGUCGAGGGGGACAGAAUGGAGGGAGAGAGGGAACACAUUACAAGGAAAGAGAGAGGCAAGAAGACAGGGAGACUGUCUGUUAAAGUGCAGUCUUAGAGAAAGGAGGAGAGAAGAGGUGGAGCUGGUG